rnacentral:rRNA from 1 species
CCUACGGGGGACAGCAGUGAGGAAUAUUGGUCAAUGGCCGGAAGGCUGAACCAGCCAAGCCGCGUGAAGGACGAAGGUGCCAAGCAUUGUAAACUUCUUUUGUCAAGGGACAAAAUCAGGCUCGCGAGCCUGCCCGAGGGGACUUUAAGAAAAAGCAUCGGCUAACUCCGUGCCCGCAGCCGCGGUAAUACGGAGGGUGCGAGCGUUAUCCGGAUUUAUUGGGUUUAAAGGGUGCGUAGGCGGGCUGUUAAGUCAGCGGUAAAAGCCCGGGGCUCAACCCCGGCGAGCCGUUGAAACUGGCUGUCUUGAGAGGGCGAGAGGUAUGCGGAAUGCGCAGUGUAGCGGUGAAAUGCUUAGAUAUUGCGCAGAACUCCGAUUGCGAAGGCAGCAUACCGGAGGGGAUCUGACGCUGAGGCACGAAAGCGUGGGUAUCGAACAGGAUUAGAUACCCUAGUAGUC